GACGAACCACACAAACGUUAUUCGGAAUUACUGGGCUUAAAGGGUGCGUAGGCUGCGCAGAAAGUUGGGUGUGAAAUCCCUCGGCUCAACCGAGGAACUGCGCCCAAUACUACUGUGCUCGAGGGAGACAGAGGUGAGCGGAACUUAGGGUGGAGCGGUGAAAUGCGUUGAUAUCCUAAGGAACACCCGUGGCGAAAGCGGCUCACUGGGUCUCUUCUGACGCUGAGGCACGAAAGCUAGGGUAGCGAACGGGG
rnacentral:rRNA from 1 species